UUCUCUCCUUCCUUGCCUAGGGUCCUGUGGAUUUAUUCUGUAACAGGAGAGUGGGUAUAUCCUCUCUUUGCUUUGUUCAGCCCCCCUGGGCUAGCAGCCUUUUUUGCCGGUAGCCUUGCUGUCAUCGUCUCCUUCUACAACUUCGGAGAGUUCCUCAACCGUAUGAUAUGGGGGGAUUCAAUAGUAAUACUGGACCACAAGUGGAAAGGCAAGUGAAUCCUCCUCUUGAAGCCAAGCAAUCUCUCCAUGAAUGCUGAAGCCAUGAAGUAGAGGAAAAUAAAUGCAGCUGUGAUAAAUCCUUUCUCCAAAGCAUUGCAGAUUCUGGUGAAGCCAUUAUGACAUCAGACAUAUGGAAAACUGGUGGAAAAUAUUAAAUGUUUGCCUCUUUCAUGAUAACUCUGCAACUGCUAUGAAUAAGAAAAUUGUGUUCAUCUGUUUACACAGAUUUCUCAUCUCUUGCACAACGUACGUGAGGAUGUGUCCAUGGUUAAAAGCUGUCACUGGUAAAUGCACUCCCUCAUGAGCCUCGCACCACUCUGUAAAAGACCUGUGAAUGCAAGCCAGCUCUUGUUUGGAUUGCCCUUCAUCAAGUCUGGAAAAAAUUAAGAGGAGAGAUAAUUUUAACAGUGCUGUGACUUCCAAGCUAGCUAGAUAACAAAUUGGGCUAACAAGCACUGUAAUUAGAAAUGUCUGCUCAGAAAGUUCACCAUGAAGCCGAGUUCUUAUAAUGAGAAACUUUCUGUAAUAUUAAUAUGCUUAAUAUCUGCCCUCCAUUUUAACAGGAAAUCUGAAAGCAACAGUUUCUUCCUUUUUCUUGGUUUCAGUUAAUCUCACAGCAAAAGUAACCUAAUUAUACUGACUGUAUGAUUGCUUUGACAGAAAGCAUGUUAAUUUAAAGCACUGUUUAACAUAAAGCUGCCUGCCAUAUAAUUACACUCCAUUCACAUGUUUACUAAUUUUCCUCAAUAUAGUUGAUUUCUGUUAUUAGCCUCAACAUUUUGUUAACAUCCAAAACACUGGAGAUCUGCUUUGCAAACUCCAAUAAACAUGCAAAACCGCGA